CGCAGAGUACCCGCAUUGUAACACAGUUUACUCGCGUGUGAUUUGUUUUUCGAAGGUUUGCUUAGUUUAAGCCUGAAACUCGAUACAGAUUUUAUUUCUAUUAUGCUGCACUACAUGUCUGUCCGGCCUACUUAAAACGCUUUCCAGACGAGUUCUGAAGUGAGUCGGAUUAAUAUUCCGUAAUGCGACAGAAGAAGUCCACACUUUCGCUCCAUAGACCCAAACAUAAACGAACUGGAAG